UACGGAGGGUGCGAGCGUUGUCCGGAAUCACUGGGCGUAAAGGGCGCGUAGGUGGCGUCGCAAGUCAACGGUGAAAGCUCGAUGCUCAACAUCGAGUCGGCCGUCGAUACUGCGAGGCUGGAGCACUGUGGAGGCUCAUGGAAUUCCGGGUGUAGCGGUGGAAUGCGUAGAGAUCCGGAAGAACACCGGUGGCGAAGGCGGUGAGCUGGGCAGUUGCUGACACUGAGGCGCGACAGCGUGGGGAGCAAACAGG
rnacentral:rRNA from 1 species